rnacentral:rRNA from 1 species
UCAGGAUGAACGCUGGCGGCGUGCCUAACACAUGCAAGUCGAACGAGCGAGAGAUGAAACCUAGUGAGUCUUGAGCGAGUGGCGGACGGGUGAGUAACGCGUGGGUAACCUGCCUUACAGAGGGGAUAACAGUUUGAAAAGACUGCUAAUACCGCAUAAGCACACAGUACCGCAUGGUACAGGGUGAAAAGAUUUAUCACUGUAAGAUGGACCCGCGUCUGAUUAGCCAGUUGGCAGGGUAACGGCCUACCAAAGCGACGAUCAGUAGCCGACCUGAGAGGGUGAUCGGCCACAUUGGGACUGAGACACGGCCCAAACUCCUACGGGAGGCAGCAGUGGGGGAUAUUGCACAAUGGAGGAAACUCUGAUGCAGCGAACCGCCGCGUGAGUGAAGAAGUAUUUCGGUAUGUAAAGCUCUAUCAGCAGGGAAGAUAAUGACAGUACCUGACCAAGAAGCCCCGGCUAACUACGUGCCAGCAGCCGC